AAUGCUUUUGUUCGUUACCAAACGUUGGACAUGGCUCACCGAGCUAAGGUUGAGUUGUCCGGUCAGUACAUUGCCAAGUUCCAGCGCAAGAUAGGAUACGGUAAAGCUAUUCCGACGACCAGAAUUUGGGUUGGUGGUCUUGGCGCAUGGACUUCGGUUACUCAGUUGGAGCGUGAGUUCGACCGUUUUGGUGCCAUCAAAAAAAUCGAAUAUAACAAAGGGGACACCCAUGCCUACAUUCUGUAGCAUUCUAUUGAUGCUGCUACGGCUGCUGUGAAGGAAAUGCGUGGAUUCCCGUUAGGGGCACCGGAUCGUCGUAUUCGUAUCGAUUUUGCUGAUAACGGAACAACACCAUCGUUUUCAAAGCGCAGUGGAGGUUUUGACGAAAGGUGAGUAUCGUCGCGGCCCCGACUACGAAUAUCAAAUCAAAUCAAUUCUUUUGGGACUCCAAUACGGGGAGCACCACUGGCAAAUUUGAUGCCUACGACGACGACGGAAUAUUCGGCACCGAUUUGAAAGACGAAUGACGACUCAAAGGAUUUUCUGACCACAACAAAAAAUAACAGCAUGCAGAUAAGUAGGUAUCAACAACUAGUCGGUGGAGUUUAACGAACGGCAACACCCCAGAUCGAAAGCUAGAUAUUGACCAAAUGCUGCCCCUAUUUGCAUAAGCGUUCCAUGUCAGCUUUCUCCAACUUAAGUAAUAUGCUGUUGAAUUUUUCAAACUCAUUUUACAUGGAGAAAUACAAAACAAUUUUAGACAUAUUUCUGAAAGGAAAUCAAAAUUGUCAAAAAUCAUCGACAUGAGGCUCGGGACUAUAUAUGCCUUGCGCCUUGGCGAAACUCAGAACUUCGAAUUCCAGAACAAAUACCCAGGCCAAGUGGGCUUACCUUCGUUUGCUGAACUAGGUUGAGAAGCUUUCAAAACAGAUAUCAGCAGCACUAGACUAUACAUUACAUAUCGAAUGAUCCUAAACGAAGAUGAUCAACCCUCCCUCCGUUUCAAUGAGCGUAAAAUCUGAAAACUUAUGACAGUAAAGUAUUUAAAAUAAGAGAAUAAAAUAAAUAUAACAA